AGGGUCAGAGAGAGAAAAUACAAACUCCGUACAGACAGCACCCGUUGUCAGGUUAGCACCCGGGUCUCUGAUGCUAUAAGGCAGCAACUCUACCGCUGCGCCACUCUGCUGCUCUAUCUUGUAUCUACACCCAUAGAUGCUGAUUGGCAUCCCUGAGUGUUGCUGCAAUUCUUCGUUCAGUGGUUUCCAGAUUCUCAAAUACCACUGCACUCUGCAGAGAAUGACGCUCCAGCAGCAGAAGGACAAUGUCCGGAGUUAAAGGCUUCUGCUCAAACUAGAUGUUGCCCAACAUGGCUGGAUCAGUGUUCCCAUAUCUGCCAAGGCGUUCAGGGAGGAUCACCCCCCACUGAACCUCAGUGAGGAACGGGCCAUUGGACAUCUGCACUUUGGUGGGGAUGCCAUUAAAAGGUGCCACCUUCUCCAACCAUAAUCCACCUCCCCUCUGAAGAGGUGAGGAGUGGCCUUAAUUAGCCCAGGCUAAUUCCAAGCGGCACCAGUUUCUCACGACAUUGCCCUCCUGCUGAUGCUUGCAGCCGCACAACAGUGCAAUUAGCGCUGGCUGCAUUCUGUGGCCACAAUAAUUAGCAGAUGGUACGGAAUUGGGUUAAACUCGCAUCCCGUUCCUUGUACCAGUUCUAAGGGGUUUUAGUGAAUUUAAUUUGUGGAUUUUUAAAACCAUCGCCUAUUGCGGACAGGGAUUUAAUCUCUUGCGAGUGCAUCUUUGUAUCAGUUUAAAACAAUGAGACAAAAUGUAAGGUCACAGAAUAGCAAAGGUUGAAAGACAGCUCAGUUAUAAAGUAGCCAAUCUUUCAGAUGCAGUCCUUUUAGAACUAAAAGAAAAUUUUCCACAUUACAUUGUCUCUCUGAGUAAUGUGGUACAUUUCGCUAAGUACAGUAAAUAUCUGUAUAUAUAGUCCUUUGAUUUGAAGGCGUAAUAACUAAAGACUCCUCAGAGAGGGUUUUAUGUCAUGCUGAAGUAUGAUUUAGUUGCACAGUCAGAAUAAUAGCCAUUUGUCCUGAGUUUCUGCACUACCUCAGUUGCCUUCCCACAAUGCCCUGUGGGCAUUGGGAAAUAAGAGUGGGUUGAGGCCUUGAUUUAGGCAGAUGGGGCAUUGGGGACAGACACCUGAGCACCGACCCAAAGGUGACUUUGCCUCGGGUCAGAGAAAGAUUAACAGAGUGCAUUUCAGAUCCGUCAAUGCUCAAAGAUGGAUCCUUCACCUUUUUACUAUGAAGAAGAGAAAGUGACCUUAAGGCCUGAACCCGCAUUUGUACAAAAGCUGAUUAUUGCAGAGAGUGACACGACAGGGUAACUACCUUCAGAUGAGAAAAGAAGUAUGAUCUUGAACCAGUGAAAUAAGGUCCGGUAUAUAAGGAGGAUGUCAGAUACAGUUUCUCUGUGACUGAGUGGAUCAUUAUUUUGUGACCAUUAUGGAGACAAUUUCUGUUAUGAAUUCUUCCAUUGUACAGGACGGGUGCAUUGAUAUGACUGUGUGCAUUUUGUAUCCUCUAUAGAAGUUGCAUUUGAUUACAAUUUGGUGGAGUUCCUGAACCCAAGUAUGAAAGACCAGAAAAAGACACAAAGUGCUGGUGUAAACUCAGCGGGUCAGUCAGCAUCUCUAGAGAACAUUUCAGAUGCUUCCUGACCUGUUGAGUUACUCCAACUCUUUGUGCUUUGCUCAAGGCCGGUCGAUGUGGUUAAUUUUCUCACCGCCUCUCUGACUGAUCUCCAAACAUGUUGGGCCUGAAUCAGGAAAUGGCUUUUGUGACUGAAUAAUAUCUUUCCGCAGUCCUCACAUGUCCAAACUUUAUAUUUUAAGGCCUAUCGUUUCUCCUUCAUCGCAGCAGUUAGAAGUUAUUUUUUUACAAGACUUCUGGCUCUUUACAACCAACUUUAAUGAGGCGUUGGCACACGGUGCUUGAGCUUAUUGAGAAUCCUGCUGCCUCCAAAUCUAUCUUCAGGGCAUCACUUGUCUUUCUCGGAUCCUUCUUGCUUUCCUGAAUCAGCAGCCCCGUGCAAAAUGGCCUUUUCCGGCCGCACAUGACAUGCCCUUCCACUUGAGUGAUAGUGAUCUGCUUCACAAUCCUGGAUCUUGAGCUUGGCUCACUCCUAUCAACUUUGCAAUCUUUCACCGUGAGUUUAAACAAAGUUGAUGCAAGGUUAUAAUCUUUGUUCAUCUCCUUGUGGAUAUUGUGACGAGAUAUUUUCAAAUGAUAAUAAAACAGCAGGCAGAUGAUGCAAUAAUGACCUAAUGCUGGUGUAAGGUUGUUGUUUUGCCUUUCAUUUCAUUUGAAUGUUCCCACUUUUACAACAUGCUUUGUUUGUAUUUCCAUUCACAUGUUAAGUUGUGGUCAAAUGUAGAAACAAAGAACUGCAGAUGUUGUUUGGCAAAAAAAAGACAUAAAGUGCUGGAGUAACUCAGUGGAUCAGGCAUCUUCUCGAUCCGAAAUGUCACCUGUCCAGGUUCU